rnacentral:rRNA from 1 species
AGUAACUACUGGAAACGGUAGCUAAUACCGCAUAACGUCGCAAGACCAAAGAGGGGGACCUUCGGGCCUCUUGCCAUCGGAUGUGCCCAGAUGGGAUUAGCUAGUAGGUGGGGUAAAGGCUCACCUAGGCGACGAUCCCUAGCUGGUCUGAGAGGAUGACCAGCCACACUGGAACUGAGACACGGUCCAGACUCCUACGGGAGGCAGCAUG